CAGAUGUGUAUAAGAGACAGGUGAAUCAUCGAAUCUUUGAACGCACAUUGCGCCCCCUGGUAUUCCGGGGGGCAUGCCUGUUCGAGCGUCAUUAUAACCACUCAAGCUCUCGCUUGGUAUUGGGGUUCGCGGCUCCGCGGCCCCUAAAAUCAGUGGCGGCGCCUGUCGGCUCUACGCGUAGUAAUACUCCUCGCGAUUGAGACCGGUGGGUGUACUUGCCAGCAACCCUUAAUUUUUUACAGGUUGACCUCGGAUCAGGUAGGGAUACCCGCUGAACUUAAGCAUAUCAAUAAGCGGAGG
rnacentral:misc_RNA from 1 species